rnacentral:rRNA from 1 species
UUAUGGCCAUAUCACGCUGAAAACACCGGUUCUCGUCCGAUCACCGAAGUUAAGCAACGUCGAGCCUGGUCAGUACUUGGAUGGGUGACCGCCUGGGAAUACCAGGUGCCGUAAG